GAGCGGGGGUAGCAAUACCCUAGCGGCGAACGGGUGAGGAAUGCUUGGGAAUCUGCCUGGUAGUGGGGGAUAACGUUCCGAAAGGAACGCUAAUACCGCAUACGUCCUACGGGAGAAAGGGGGGGAUCUUCGGACCUCUCGCUAUCAGAUGAGCCCAAGCGGGAUUAGCUAGUUGGUGAGGUAAAGGCUCACCAAGGCGACGAUCCCUAGCUGGUCUGAGAGGAUGAUCAGCCACACUGGAACUGAGACACGGUCCAGACUCCUACGGGAGGCAGCAGUGGGGAAUAUUGGACAAUGGGCGAAAGCCUGAUCCAGCCAUGCCGCGUGUGUGAAGAAGGCCUUCGGGUUGUAAAGCACUUUAAGCGGGGAGGAAGGUUCGUUACUUAAUACGUAACGGAAUUGACGUUACCCGCAGAAUAAGCACCGGCUAACUCUGUGCCAGCAGCCGCGGUAAUACAGAGGGUGCAAGCGUUAAUCGGAAUUACUGGGCGUAAAGCGCGCGUAGGUGGUUGUGUAAGUUGGAUGUGAAAUCCCCGGGCUUAACCUGGGCACUGCAUUCAAAACUGCACGGCUAGAGUAUGGGAGAGGAAGGUAGAAUUCCAGGUGUAGCGGUGAAAUGCGUAGAGAUCUGGAGGAAUACCGAUGGCGAAGGCAGCCUUCUGGCCUAAUACUGACGCUGAGGUGCGAAAGCAU
rnacentral:rRNA from 1 species